rnacentral:rRNA from 1 species
GACGAACGCUGGCGGCGUGCCUAAUACAUGCAAGUUGAGCGCUGAAGGUUGGUACUGGUACCGACUGGAUGAGCAGCGGACGGGUGAGUAACGCGUGGGGAAUCUGCCUUUGAGCGGGGGACAACAUUUGGAAACGAAUGCUAAUACCGCAUAAAAACUUUAAACACAAGUGUUAAGUUUGAAAGAUGCAAUUGCAUCACUCAAAGAUGAUCCCGCGUUGUAUUAGCUAGUUGGUGAGGUAAAGGCUCACCAAGGCGAUGAUACAUAGCCGACCUGAGAGGGUGGUCGGCCACCUUGGGACGGAGACACGGCCAACACUCCUGCGGGAGGCAGCAGUAGGGAAUCUUAGGCAAUGGAGGAAAGUCUGACAGAGCAACGCCGAGUGAGUGAAGAAGGUGCUCGGAUGGUAAAACUCUGUUGGUAGAGAAGAACGUUGGUGAGAGUGGAAAGCUCAUCAAGGACCGGAAACUAACAAGAAACGGACGGCUACCUACGU